rnacentral:rRNA from 1 species
UACGGAGGAUCCGAGCGUUAUCCGGAUUUAUUGGGUUUAAAGGGUGCGUAGACGGUAAUGUAAGUCUGGAGUGAAAGGCGGGGGCCCAACCCCCGGACUGCUCUGGAAACUAUGUUACUAGAGUGCAGGAGAGGUAAGCGGAAUUCCUAGUGUAGCGGUGAAAUGCGUAGAUAUUAGGAGGAACACCAGUGGCGAAGGCGGCUUACUGGACUGUAACUGACGUUGAGGCUCGAAAGCGUGGGGAGCAAACAGG